rnacentral:rRNA from 1 species
UACGUAGGUGGCAAGCGUUGUCCGGAUUUAUUGGGCGUACAGGGCGCGCAGGCGGUUCGUUAGGUUCGAGGUGAAAUCUCCUGGCUCAACUGGGAGAGGUCUUCGGAUACCGGCGGACUUGAGGAGAGCAGAGGUGAGUGGAAUUCUGGGUGUAGUGGUGAAAUGCGUAGAUAUCCAGAGGAACACCAGUGGCGAAGGCGACUCACUGGGCUCCACCUGACGCUGAGGCGCGAAAGCGUGGGGAGCGAACCGG